rnacentral:rRNA from 1 species
CCAUGCAGUCGACGAUGAAGCCGGAGCUUGCUCUGGUGGAUUAGUGGCGAACGGGUGAGUAACACGUGAGUAACCUGCCCCUGACUCUGGGAUAAGCGCUGGAAACGGCGUCUAAUACCGGAUAUGCGCUGUAACCGCAUGGUUUGCAGCGGGAAAGAUUUAUCGGUUGGGGAUGGACUCGCGGCCUAUCAGCUUGUUGGUGAGGUAAUGGCUCACCAAGGCGUCGACGGGUAGCCGGCCUGAGAGGGUGACCGGCCACACUGGGACUGAGACACGGCCCAGACUCCUACGGGAGGCAGCAGUGGGGAAUAUUGCACAAUGGGCGCAAGCCUGAUGCAGCAACGCCGCGUGAGGGAUGACGGCCUUCGGGUUGUAAACCUCUUUUAGCAGGGAAGAAGCCUUCGGGUGACGGUACCUGCAGAAAAAGCGCCGGCUAACUACGUGCCAGCAGCCGCGGUAAUACGUAGGGCGCAAGCGUUAUCCGGAAUUAUUGGGCGUAAAGAGCUCGUAGGCGGUUUGUCACGUCUGCUGUGAAAACUGGAGGCUCAACCUCCAGCCUGCAGUGGGUACGGGCAGACUAGAGUGCGGUAGGGGAGAUUGGAAUUCCUGGUGUAGCGGUGGAAUGCGCAGAUAUCAGGAGGAACACCGAUGGCGAAGGCAGAUCUCUGGGCCGUUACUGACGCUGAGGAGCGAAAGGGUGGGGAGCAAACAGGCUUAGAUACCCUGGUAGUCCACCCCGUAACGUUGGGAACUAGUUGUGGGGGCUUUUCUACGGUCUCCGUGACGCAGCUAACGCAUUAAGUUCCCCGCCUGGGGAGUACGGCCGCAAGGC